UACGGGGGGGGCAAGCGUUAAUCGGAAUUACUGGGCGUAAAGCGUGCGCAGGCGGUUUUGUAAGUCUGUCGUGAAAUCCCCGGGCUCAACCUGGGAAUUGCGAUGGAGACUGCAAGGCUAGAAUCUGGCAGAGGGGGGUAGAAUUCCACGUGUAGCAGUGAAAUGCGUAGAGAUGUGGAGGAACACCGAUGGCGAAGGCAGCCCCCUGGGUCAAGAUUGACGCUCAUGCACGAAAGCGUGGGGAGCAAAGAGGAUUAGAGU
rnacentral:rRNA from 1 species